rnacentral:piRNA from 1 species
UCCAGAGCCUGCGAGCUGAGUAUGAG